CAGUCGUCGGGUGGGCGGGUGGCCAGGCAGUGCCGUGCUCAGGAGUAACUGGAGACAACCCCUUGUGACCUCAGGAAGGCAACAGCCCCCAGGGCAGCAGCCAAGGCGUCAAGAUCACCCCUGACCAGCAGAAGAGGAGCAGCUUCUUCCGCUGCGCAUUGGUGUGAGGAGCCGUCUUACCUGGGCGUGCCCGGCCCAGCUGACUGUGCCUGUCCCCAGCGAGCCUGGCUCGCGGGGCCCUCCCGCUCCAACACCUCGCCCGCCGCGGCCACCGGGCCCUCGGCCACCAGAACAUAAUUGAGAAAUUGUUUAUUUUAGUAACUGUCUGAUCUUUUUCAACUUUGGAGAUGGAAGAAGAAUUUGCUAUUUUCCUCUAACGCCCACCAGGACGGCCCACCUGUCUGUCAUACCAGAGAGAAAGAUGGGGUCCCGGUGACCAGCAGCCGCCGCAGGGCAGACCCCGUCUCGGGGCCUCUGAUCCUGGUGUCACCGCAGCGCCCCACAGAAAGCCUGUCCCGCCGCCGGUGGUGCCAGGCACGUCCGCUCUGCACCGAGCAAGUGACCGAUGGCCAGGGCUGGGCGCAUUCACCCGACAGGUCUGCCGCCCACGUCAGCCUGCUCUCAGUUUUGGACAAGUGACAAAAACCAUUUCCCUCCCGUCUCUUUCACUGUUAAACCAAAGGGAAGCACAAAUCCAAGACGCCCUGCGCGGAGCACCAGGAGGGAGGAGGACGGGCGCUCCGACCGCAGCCAGGUCUUGGUCUGUGGCCCAGCUGGCCUCUGAGCACCCCAGUGGAGCAGGGGGGAUGCUGUGCCAGCACAGGUGACCCCAGCAUCAGCCCCUCCCGGGCCUCGUGGCCAGGGCAUGCGGUACCAAACGGCCCCCACCCUGUCCUGUCGCCAUCUCCAAAUCGGACAUUCUUUCUAGCUGAAAUUUUUUUAUUUUUCCAGAUUUGUAGUGCCAUGAAGUGAUUCCGUCUUUGAUUUCCAGGGGCAGACCCAGGUGACGGGAAGCGCGUGUAGCACCCUGGCCAGAGGUGGCCAGGGGCCCUGGCACGGCCGGGGCACAGGCAUUCCAGGGACAGGCUGGCCGCACGGCAGCCCGGGUCGGCUUUUUACUGUCGUUAUUCGGUUCUGUUUUGAUAGCUCUGUCCUCCGGAGAGACUGCGAUUUGGGACCACAUAUCCAGGCGGAGGGCGCCCCACCCCCACCUUUUCUUUGACUCUCCUCCCGCCCCGCCCCCGGCCGCUGUCAGUCCAAGUCAUUGACGUCACCUUCUCCUUUUUUGAAUUAAAUGAACAUACCAGCAAUGUCUGCUCUCCCCUGGGGUCUCUAACAUGCUCUGUUUAUAUCAUAAAUGCACUUAAGGAAAACAGACCAAUUAAAGCUCAUUCUAAAAUUCCCG
rnacentral:lncRNA from 1 species